AUGUGUUUUUAUACCGUAUGGCGUCAGAAAAAGAAUCGCGAUGGGAACCUGGUUUGUGUUGCAAUUUCACGGGGGCGAGCACACAUGAGUCUCACGAACGCGCAGGGGAUUACAGGAAAGUUUGAGUUGUGCGGAUACACGUCAGUUUUUUUUUGUUCGUUGUUGGUUUACUAAAGAUAGUUUGCUUUAUCGACUGUAUUUUUGUACUUGUUGUUAUUUUUGUAAGGAGAAAAGUGGUGUGCCUGAAGGUGACCAGCAAGCAAAUAUUUCUCAGCAGAUCCAGCUAGCUAAUCUACUUCCUCAGCUUGUGAAACUGACAUCAAUCACCAUGACUUCUAUUCCCAUGACAGCAACAGAGAUGAGACCUACAUCGCUUCCCAGUCAUACAGACUCCUCUGUCAUUGGAAUUGUCAUCGUACUUGUUCUACUGACGCUAGCUGGCCUGGGUUUCCUUCUGUACCGGUACUUGUGCCACAACAAGGGUGCCUACAGAACCACAGGAGAACCCGCCCCGGGUGAGGACUGUGAUCUGGCCCACGGUGACAUUGUAACUGAUGAAAAGAAGGAGUACUUCAUUUGAACUUGAUAACAAGGAGGAAUGUGAGGAGAACUGUGGGUGGGUGUUUAACAAAAUGUUCUCUGCCAAACUGACAGGAAAUAGGAAAAUGACAAUCUUUGAUGGACAUCUACCAUAUGUCUGUGGAAUUGAAGACCUACAUAGAUUUUACCCAAGAGAACACACUAUCACGUAUAGGCACAUAAGCUGGGCAAGCGAUGAGAUUAAUUAGUAAAAAUGUGUGUGCACACUGAUGGUUUCACAAUUUAACAGUUGUGUGCAAGGCACGAGAACUGUUUAACACUAGUGGAUGGAGGACUUCAUGAGAUUCUUGUGGGGGAAAUGUCUAAGAUGGCAUCAAAAAUAUGCUUUCUUUUGUGUCAUAUAAUUGUUAUCAAUCUGCUCCCCAGGUGUCAACUCUGAAGGCUUUUCAUUUUCUGAUUUGUAUUGGUAAAAAAAAUAAUAAUAUUGUCCUGGGGUGGGGGGCUAAAUGGGAAAUUGUAUUUGUUGAUCAGUAGAAGGCACUGAUGAUUUUUUUUGUCUUCUCUUAUGCCAUUAUACGUAAUUUACCAGUUCAAAACUGGGCAGCUAAAUGGGAAAUGUUUUGUAUCUGUUACUAUUACCAAAUACACCAUCUUGUUUGUAUGAUCUUACUGAAGUAUCUGCCAAAGGCAGUAAGUGGCAUGACAGACCUCAAUUUGAGACUGCAGGUCUGACAUGGCAAUAAAGCUUGUUAGUAUUUAAUCA